rnacentral:rRNA from 1 species
AAUCCUGAGCAAUCAGGAAGCCAACACAGGUGCUGCAUGGCUGUCGUCAGCUCGUGUCGUGAGAUGUUGGGUUAAGUCCCGUAACGAGCGCAACCCCUACCUUUAUUUGCCAUCAUUUAGUUGGGCACUCUAAAGGAACCGCCUCGGUCAACGGGGAGGAAGGUGGGGAUGACGUCAAGUCCUCAUGGCCUUUAUGCCCAGGGCUACACACGUGCUACAAUGGCCAGUACAAAGGGCUGCAAACCCGCGAGGGUCAGCAAAUCCCAAAAACCUGGCCUCAGUUCGGAUUGGAGUCUGCAACUCGACUCCAUGAAGUUGGAAUCGCUAGUAAUCGCAGAUCAGCGUGCUGCGGUGAAUACGUUCCCGGGCCUU